CAGUCUUCCCCUAAAUUUAAAGAAAUUAACUUUGUCAAGCUUUGGCCUACCAUGGGAUCAUAUAUCUACCAUCGGGAGGCUUCCAAACCUUCAGGUUCUUAAAUUAGUUUCUGAUGCCUUUGAUGGGGAAAGUUGGGAUAUGAGGGAAGAUGAGUUUCCUGAACUCAGAUUCCUGCAGUUAGACUCUCUGAACCUCGUUCAGUGGAAUGCCUCUUGUGAUCACCUUCCCAAACUUGCGCAGCUGGUCUUACGAAACUGCAAACGCCUUCAGGAAGUCCCAUAUGAUUUUGCUGAUAUUCCUACGUUGGAGUUAAUUCAAGUGCAACGGUGUGGGAAAUCCCUGGAAGAGUCCGUCAGAAGUAUCGGUGAAGCAACUGAGUGCAUUCAAGUCCUCAUCAGUCGCUCAUAUUCAUAAUGUCAGCCAGCCACUAUGGUACCUUUCUGCUCACUUUAACAUCUUCUGAAGGGCUUGUAAGGCUUUCUGGCUUUUUGUGAACUGAGAAGGUGUCCACAAUCCAAUUUCAGAGUUCACUGGUUCAACAACUUCCUCAAUUAUCUGCUCUAGUCAAGAGAAUCAAGAGAACUUUCAUAGCAAAAGAAGGGGGGAACUGGAAAAAAGCCAGUAGUGUUUCACAAGCUUGACUGUGACAAGCCUUUGGAGGACUUGAGGAAUGAGAUACUUCUCUGUUAUUUGUAUAUGGUGUUGUGGUUUCUUGCCUUUAUGAAUGCUUGUGGCUCACAAAAAAUGCUGAUUUCUUUGCAAAAGGAAAAAAUUCCAUUUAUAAUGGAAGGAAUGAUAAAUGUCUUGAAGCACUGUAAAUUUGCAUUUCUGCCUUGUUUUAAACUUCACCUUGAGUGAUGCAAAAAAGUCUUUAUUGGGCAUCACUCUCUUUUGGA